CACGUAGGGCGCGAGCGUUGUCCGGAAUUAUUGGGCGUAAAGAGCUCGUAGGCGGCCUGUUGCGUCCGCUGUGAAAGCCCGGGGCUUAACCCCGGGUCGGCAGUGGAUACGGGCAGGCUAGAGGUAGGUAGGGGAGAAUGGAAUUCCCGGUGUAGCGGUGAAAUGCGCAGAUAUCGAGAGGAACACCAGAGGUGAAGACGGGUUGCUGGGCCGACACUGACGCUGACAGCGCGAAAGCCAGGGGAGCAAACGGG
rnacentral:rRNA from 1 species